rnacentral:antisense_RNA from 1 species
GAAACGAAAAAACCGCCCUGGCAGGCGGUUUGUUCGAAGGUGUUGUCAGUUGGGGAACCGACGUCACCUGGUAACGGCUCCGUAGAGGGAAGCAGCUACCUAAAGUCCUAACAAGUUUAGCGGCUACAUGCCGUAUCUUUCAAGCUAAAUCCCUCUCUAAGACCGUUACCGAAGGCCACCACCUUUGGCGCUUUGUCGUACCCGCACGGAUUGGAAGCAUGAGUUUGUUGCCGUGUGUGGGUGUGGUUGGUCGGGCAGAACGGGGAAAUCUCACAUACUGCCCAGCGUGCGAUCGCGCACCACAGCCGCCCACGAUUCGCAACCGUGGGGCAUUUGCAAGCAGAGCGUAACGGGGAACCAACCACGGCCAGCUCUUAAAAAACGGCGCGGCAGUCCAGCCAACAGGCGGGGGCUAAAGCAGAUGCAGCAAGGACGGGGUGUGUCUCUGGAGCGCGUGAGAGGGAGCUGCCGCAAGCAGCCUCGAUAGUCCGGAGCAAGGCGAGUCUAUCUUGUGUAA